rnacentral:rRNA from 1 species
AUUCGAUGCAACGCGAAAAACCUUACCUACCCUUGACAUGUCAGGAAGACCGGGGAGAUUUGGUUGUGCCCGAAAGGGAACCUGAACACAGGUGCUGCAUGGCUGUCGUCAGCUCGUGUCGUGAGAUGUUGGGUUAAGUCCCGCAACGAGCGCAACCCUUGUCAUUAGUUGCUACGCAAGAGCACUCUAAUGAGACUGCCGGUGACAAACCGGAGGAAGGUGGGGAUGACGUCAAGUCCUCAUGGCCCUUAUGGGUAGGGCUUCACACGUCAUACAAUGGUACAUACAGAGGGCCGCCAACCCGCGAGGGGGAGCUAAUCCCAGAAAGUGUAUCGUAGUCCGGAUCGUAGUCUGCAACUCGACUACGUGAAGUUGGAAUCGCUAGUAAU